CAGUGGGGAAUAUUGGACAAUGGGCGCAAGCCUGAUCCAGCAAUGCCGCGUGAGUGAUGAAGGCCUUCGGGUUGUAAAGCUCUUUAACCCGGGAAGAAAAUGACGGUACCGGGAGAAUAAGCCCCGGCCAACUCCGUGCCAGCAGCCGCGGUAAUACGGAGGGGGCUAGCGU
rnacentral:rRNA from 1 species